AACGAACGCUGGCGGCAUGCCUAACACAUGCAAGUCGAACGAGACCUUCGGGUCUAGUGGCGCACGGGUGCGUAACGCGUGGGAACCUGCCCUUAGGUUCGGAAUAACUCCCCGAAAGGGGUGCUAAUACCGGAUAAUGUCUUCGGACCAAAGAUUUAUCGCCUUUGGAUGGGCCCGCGUUGGAUUAGCUAGUUGGUAGGGUAAAAGCCUACCAAGGCGACGAUCCAUAGCUGGUCUGAGAGGAUGAUCAGCCACACUGGGACUGAGACACGGCCCAGACUCCUACGGGAGGCAGCAGUGGGGAAUAUUGGACAAUGGGCGAAAGACUGAUCCAGCAAUGCCGCGUGAGUGAUGAAGGCCUUAGGGUUGUAAAGCUCUUUUACCCGGGAUGAUAAUGACAGUACCGGGAGAAUAAGCGCCGGCUAACUCCGUG
rnacentral:rRNA from 1 species